GGAUCUAGCUCUAGCUGGAUUAGUGGCGAACGGGUGAGUAACACGUGUGCAAUCUGCCCUGGACUCUGGGAUAACCCCGAGAAAUCGGAGCUAAUACCGGAUACGACACCUCCCGGCAUCGGGUGGGUGUGGAAAGAAUUUCGGUCCAGGAUGAGCUCGCGGCCUAUCAGCUUGUUGGUGAGGUAACGGCUCACCAAGGCGACGACGGGUAGCCGGCCUGAGAGGGUGACCGGCCACACUGGGACUGAGACACGGCCCAGACUCCUACGGGAGGCAGCAGUGGGGAAUAUUGCACAAUGGGCGCAAGCCUGAUGCAGCAACGCCGCGUGGGGGACGAAGGCCUUCGGGUUGUAAACCUCUUUUAGUAGGGAAGAAGCGCAAGUGACGGUACCUACAGAAAAAGCACCGGCUAACUACGUGCCAGCAGCCGCGGUAAUACGUAGGGUGCAAGCGUUGUCCGGAAUUAUUGGGCGUAAAGAGCUCGUAGGCGGUUUGUCGCGUCUGCUGUGAAAAUCCGAGGCUCAACCUCGGACCUGCAGUGGGUACGGGCAAACUAGAGUGCGGUAGGGGAGAUUGGAAUUCCUGGUGUAGCGGUGGAAUGCGCAGAUAUCAGGAGGAACACCAAUGGCGAAGGCAGAUCUCUGGGCCGUAACUGACGCUGAGGAGCGAAAGCGUGGGGCGCG
rnacentral:rRNA from 1 species